rnacentral:rRNA from 1 species
GAACCAAGCAAACGUUGUUCGGAAUCACUGGGCUUAAAGGGCGCGUAGGCGGUCGAUCAAGUCCGGGGUGAAAUCUUUCGGCUCAACCGGAAAAGUGCCUUGGAUACUGAUUGGCUCGAAGUAGGUAGGGGUUGCGGGAACGACCAGUGGAGCGGUGAAAUGCGUUGAUAUUGGUCGGAACGCCGGUGGCGAAAGCGCGCAACUGGACCUCUCUUGACGCUGAGGCGCGAAAGCUAGGGUAGCGAACGGGAUUAGAUACCCCGGUAGUCCUAGCCCUAAACGAUGGGCACUAGAUUGUGAGCGUGACAUGCGCCCUCAAUCGAAGCAAAAGUGGUUAGUGCCCCGCCUGGGGAGUAUGGUCGCAAGGCUGAA